rnacentral:rRNA from 1 species
GGGGGAAAUGCGGCGGCUUAACACAUGCAAGUCGAGGGGUAGGGUUCUUCGGAAUCUGAGACCGGCGCACGGGUGCGUAACGCGUAUGCAAUCUGCCUUUCACAGAGGGAUAGCCCAGAGAAAUUUGGAUUAAUACCUCAUAGCAUAAUCAAACCGCAUGGUUCGAUUAUUAAAGUCACAACGGUGAAAGAUGAGCAUGCGUCCCAUUAUCUAGUUGGUAAGGUAACGGCUUACCAAGGCAACGAUGGGUAGGGGUCCUGAGAGGGAGAUCCCCCACACUGGUACUGAGACACGGACCAGACUCCUACGGGAGGCAGCAGUGAGGAAUAUUGGUCAAUGGGCGCAAGCCUGAACCAGCCAUGCCGCGUGCAGGAUGACGGUCCUAUGGAUUGUAAACUGCUUUUGUACGGGAAGAAACACUCCGACGUGUCGGAGCUUGACGGUACCGUAAGAAUAAGGAUCGGCUAACUCCGUGCCAGCAGCCGCGGUAAUACGGAGGAUCCAAGCGUUAUCCGGAAUCAUUGGGUUUAAAGGGUCCGUAGGCGGUCUUGUAAGUCAGUGG